UUACACAUGCAAGUCUCAGCACACCUGUGAGAACGCCCUUUAAACCUUCACCAGGCUAAGGAGCCGGCAUCAGACACAACCCCUGUCCACAACGCCUAGUCUCACCACACCCCCAAGGGUCAUCAGCAGUGAUAAAUCUUGAGCAUAAGCGACAGCUUGACUCAGUCAGAGAAAAGAGGGCCGGCCAACCCGGUGCCAGCCGCCGCGGCUACCCCGUAGGGCCCAAGUUGAAGGUCGUCGGCGUUAAGCGUGAUUAAAGUCUACUUAGAUUAAGGUUAAAUUAAUACUCAGUAGUUUAAAGCUAGUUAUUAAGAAAAACAAAAACGAAAGUUACCUUAACCAUAUACUUGAAUACACGACAGCUGGGAAACAAACUAGGAUCAGAUACCCUACUAUGCCCAGCCGUAAACAAUUAACUCACACCACAAGCGCCAGGGAAUUACGAGCCACGCUUAAAACCCAAAGGAUUUGACGGUGUCCCACCCCCCUAGAGGAGCCUGUUCUAUAAUCGAUGAUCCCCGCUAUACCCUACCACCCUUUGCCCAUCAGUCUGUAUACCUCCGUCGAAAACUUACCGUGUGAACGUUUACAGUAAGUUUAAUGACACCACAUGCGUCAAUACGUCAGGUCAAGGUGCAGCUUAAGGGGUGGAAAGUAAUUGGCUACAAUUUCUAAUCUAGAACAAACGAAAGGCCAUGUGAAAUCAUGGCCACGAAGGCGGAUUUAGUAGUAAAAAGAAAAUAGAGAGUUCUUUUUAACCCGGCUCUGGGACGCGUACACACCGCCCGUCACCCUCUUCAACAGUAUCACUCAAGUUCCUAA
rnacentral:ncRNA from 1 species